UACGGGGGGGGCAAGCGUUGUUCGGAAUUACUGGGCGUAAAGGGCUCGUAGGUGGCCAACUAAGUCACACGUGAAAUCCCUCGGCUUAACCGGGGAACUGCGUCUGAUACUGGAUGGCUUGAGUUUGGGAGAGGGAUGCGGAAUUCCAGGUGUAGCGGUGAAAUGCGUAGAUAUCUGGAGGAACACCGGUGGCGAAGGCGGCAUCCUGGACCAACACUGACACUGAGGAGCGAAAGCCAGGGGAGCAAACGGG
rnacentral:rRNA from 1 species